rnacentral:lncRNA from 1 species
AACCUGUGAUGAAGCAAGGGUAGGACAGGGAAUAUUCAUUGAGAGCAGGAAGAUUUCUGAAAGUUGUUAAGAAUCAACAGGGGAAUCACUAGCUGCAAAACGUCUCCAAACGGACCAGAGUGAGUUGCAGAACCAGAAGCAGCUCGGCUUGCUAAGGAGAAAUUGAUGUUGUCCUCAGCACUCAUUGACUUGUCUGGUUUUCA